rnacentral:lncRNA from 10 species
GGCUGAGGCAGGAGAAUCACUUGAACCCAGGAGGCAGAGGGUGCAGUGAGCCAAGAAUGCGCCACUGCACUCCAGCCUGGGUGACAGAGUGAGAAUCUUUUUCUUUUUUUCUUUAAAAGAAAAAAAAAAGAGAGAAAAGUUAUAUUUAUAGGCUGGCCUGAUGGUAGUGAGUUAUCUCAACUGAUUGUUCAGUCAGUUACAGAUGGAACUCCUUGUUCCACUCUUUCCUCCCUUUCCACUACUACACUUGACUAAUCUUAACAAAAUAUUACAUUAAAAAGUGUAGUAAUGGAAUAUACAUUAUGUUAUUAAAAAGGAUUUGAGGCCAGGUGUGGUGGCUUAUGCCUGUAAUCCUAGCACUUUGGGAGGCCAAGGGUAGGGGCAGAUUGCUUGAGCCCAGGAGACUGGUUUGGGCAACAUGGUGAAACGAUGUCUCUACAAAACACAUAAUAGCUGUGCACGAUGGCAUGCACCUGUAGUCCCGGCUACUUGGGAGGCUGAAGUGGGAGGAUUACUAGGAAGUCCAGGCUGCAGUGAGCAGUAAUCCUGCCAGUACACUCCAGCCAGGGUGACAGGGUGAGACCCUGUCCCCCACCCCCCAAAAAAGGAUUUGUUUAGUCUUUGUUCAGAGAUUAGAAAUGUGAACAUACAAUUAGCCAGGCGUGGUGGCGCAUCCCUGUGAUCCCAGCUACUUGGGAGGCUAAGACAGGAGAACUGAAAGAAAUGUGAACAUACUUUCAGAAAGAAAUGUGAACAUACUCGUCCAAGUUUCUUCUGUCCUCCAGGCUAUACUGAAGUUUUACUCAUCCCCUUUCAGUUGUUUUUUUUUUUUUUUUUGAGUCAGAGUCUCGCUGUGUUGCCAGGCUGGAGUGCAAUGGCACGAUCUUAGCUCACUGCAACCUCCGCCUCCCGGGUUCAAGCGAUUCUCCUGCCUCAGCCUCCUGAGUAGCUGGGACUACAGGCAUGCACCACCACACCCAGCUAAUUUUUGUAUUUUUAGUAGAGACAGGGUUUCACCAUGUUGGCCACGAUAGUCUCGAUCUCUUGAACGCGUGAACCGCCUGCCUCGGCCUCCCAAAGUGCUGGGGUUACAGGCGUGAGCCACCAUGCCCGGCCUACUCAUCCCCUUUCAGUUCUGGCAUCUGAGACAAUAUAAAAUUGCAGGAAAAUCUGGAGUCAUCUGUUAUAUAAAAGCUAGUUCAAAAACAGAAAAGUUGACAUUUUUUAAACUUCACUUAAAUGUAAACAAAAUCCUUCAUUAGUGGAGUGAGGAUCUGAUGUAGGCUAUUCCUCUUCUUGUGGUCAUGAAAAUUCUAGUAUUUCCUUCUAGUACAACCAAAUGGGACUGUCUUUUGUUUCUGUUUUUGUUUUUUUCUGAAAUGGGAUAUUCUUUAAGAACCACAUUUUCCUAAGUUUGAUCAUUCAAAAAGUAGUUUCCAUCUGGUAGAAAUAUUGUACUUAGUUUGUACCAAGUUGUGUUACUAAAAGGCAAAAUAAAAGUAAUGACUUUAUUCUAAGGUUCCUCUUAGUUUUUACAUACUCGGUAUUCUAUCUCUAACACAAAGUAGCCGUUUUAGGUUGCUUUGCAUAUGAAAUGAAGGUACUAAUGAAUACACAGAAAUUAAGUACCUUAGGUAUCUGGUCUAAUUGCCCUCCCCACCUUAUAGUGAAAACAGGCCCAGAAAAACUGACCAGCCCAAGGAUGAGGCCAGUUCCUUUGUCUCCCAAAGUCUAAGUGAAAAUGGGAGAUUCAUUUGUGCAAUCUAUUAGAUUACAUUUAAACCUAUUUUGGGACUGAUAAAAUUGACAGAUGCUCUUUCUCUCCAAACCCCUAAUACUUAUCACAAAAUGAUAUGACAGAAUCAACUAAAC